UGCCGCGUGUGUGAAGAAGGCCUGAGGGUUGUAAAGCACUUUUAGUGGGGAGGAAUACCUGGCGGUUAAUACCCGSCAGACUGACAUUACCCACAGAAAAAGCACCGGCUAACUCCGUGCCAGCAGCCGCGGUAAUACGGAGGGUGCGAGCGUUAAUCGGAAUUACUGGGCGUAAAGCGUGCGUAGGCGGCCCGUUAAGUCAGAUGUGAAAGCCCCGGGCUCAACCUGGGAACGGCAUUUGAUACUGGCGGGCUAGAGUUUGGGAGAGGGGAGCGGAAUUCCGGGUGUAGCGGUGAAAUGCGUAGAUAUCCGGAGGAACACCAGUGGCGAAGGCGGCUCCCUGGCCUAAAACUGACGCUGAGGCACGAAAGCGUGGGUAGCAAACAGGAUUAGAUACCCUGGUAGUCCACGCCGUAAACGAUGCCGACUAGCCGUUGGGCCAAUUGAUUGGCUUAGUGGCGCAGCUAACGCAAUAAGUCGGCCGCCUGGGGAGUACGGCCGCAAGGUUAAAACUCAAU
rnacentral:rRNA from 1 species